GGGGAUGUGGCUCAGUGGUAGAGUGCUUGCCUAGCAUGCAUGAGGCAUUGGGUUUGAUCCUCAGCUCCA
rnacentral:tRNA from 1 species